GGUGGAUGCCAGCGCUGAGGGAGCUGAUGCUGUGCUACUGCAGGAGGACGCGGACGAGGUUGACCACCCAGUAUGUUAUUUUUCACCGACUCGUGGUGGGCUCUGAUUGUGCAAGAUUACAACUUAGAUAUCUGUCACAAAAAGGGUUCAGAAAACGUGUUGGCAGAUGCUUUGUCCAGAGUGUAGGUUACCAACCUAUGUGAUUUGUCUUUUUCUUCAUGUCAAGCAGUCUCCAGUCAUCCAGGCUCCUCCCACUUCCCAGCUGGUAUUGGUGAGGGUCCUGAUUGGAGUGGCCCCUGCUCAAGCCAGCCCUCCAAUCUCAAGGCUUCAAUCCGUGGGCCGAACUGAUAAAUGUCUAGCCAGCCUGCCAGUUGGGGCAGCGGGGAUUAAGGGAGCAGCUCGCUAUGGUGACUCUUAUUGUUGUGUGAUAGCUGUUGUGAGACUAGUAUGAAGCACCCACUUUUUAACUGUGCUUCUCGUGAAUGUUGAAGUCAGGUGCACUGGAUCUAAUAUGAGGCACUCGCUUGUUGUUUGGGCACUGGGCCAGGGGUAGUUAUAAGUAUCACUGAUUGCUCGCGUGCACACAUUAGUUGUUAUUUUUGUUAGCUUCAUCAGGAGCCAGGGUGCUGUUCUUAUUGUGUUUAUUUUAUAAGCCACUGAAAACUAGGCCUAGAGAGUGAGGUGUUAGUUUUGUUGUUUUCUUUGUGUAAGUAAGUUUAGCUCGGAUUUAGGAGUCCUCUUUUGGUUAUAUUGUUUUUUUUGAUUUGAACAGCACCCGCCAGCCCCUCUCCCUCAGUUAGUUGCUUGCCUUUUGUGUAUGUGAUUUCUGUGAACCACCGGCCCUCCUAGCAAUAAAUAACUGUUUAACCAAACAACAUUCUGGUUUUAUGUUGCUUCCCUUCCCCUAGUGAGCUGGGUUGUAACAAUUGUUCAAUUGAAUGUGAUAAUAAACAGAAAGUUUUGGAAAGAGCAUUAAUACUAAUGUUUGGACUUCCUCACAGUAGUGAUCUAACUUACAGAAACAAUUUCGUACUGUAACACUUGAGAAAUGAAAUCAAACUCUUGGAGCUGAGGAUGGAGUGAUUUUUAAAUCAACUCAGAUCCCUCCAAGCACAGCUUUCUGUAUGGAUGUGAUAUACCUCUCUCUCCAGCUAAUGCCUAUGAAUAGUAUCAAUGUCCCCAUGUUUUUGGAGCUGUACAAAUGCUUUAAGCCAUCUUCCAGUCCACAUUAUGCUGGCGAACAGUAUUUGUUAGUCCUGGGGCUCAGCCAGGAGCUGAAUGUCUGCACAAAUGCUGGAACAGACUGAGAGGUGCUCUAUUUUAUGGCAUACCAGACUUUAGUCAGAGCUGGUAUGUUCAUAGUGGCUGCUUGUGGCUGCUGUUUGUGUAUUGUGUUGUGUGUAUUUCCUGUUAGCCUCUACUGUUGUUGAUGCUAUACCGAUAAAGAAGUUUAUUAUCUGAGCAAUGUCUCCAUGGUUUUUUUUAAAAUUCCAGUCCCAGUACCUGGUC